UCCAUAGAAGCAAAGGAAAAUGCUGGAGAA
rnacentral:piRNA from 1 species